GGUCCUGCCUGCCCUGUGACCCCUGGUUCAACGGCCGCGGUAUUUUGACCGUGCAAAGGUAGCGCAAUCACUUGUCUCUUAAAUGAGGACCUGUAUGAAUGGCACAACGAGGGCUUAACUGUCUCCUUUCCUCGGUCAGUGAAAUUGAUCUUCCCGUGCAGAAGCGGGAAUUCUAACAUAAGACGAGAAGACCCUAUGGAGCUUUAGACUCCAGAACAGAUCAUGUAAGCUACCCCCGUAAAAUAGGUAAUGACUAUUGAAUUUCUGUUCCCCUGUCUUUGGUUGGGGCGACCACGGGGAAGAAAAAAACCCCCAUGUGGACCAGGAGCACAUACUCCUACAACCAUGAGCCACAGCUCUAAUGCACAAAACCUUUGACCAUUAGAUCCGGCAAAGCCGAUCAACGGACCAAGUUACCCUAGGGAUAACAGCGCAAUCCCCUUUAAGAGUCCCUAUCGACAAGGGGGUUUACGACCUCGAUGUUGGAUCAAGACAUCCUAAUGGUGCAGCCGCUAUUAAGGGUUCGUUUGUUCAACGAUUAAAGUCUU
rnacentral:rRNA from 1 species